UGGGGAAUUUUGGACAAUGGGGGCAACCCUGAUCCAGCAAUGCCGCGUGUGUGAAGAAGGCCUUCGGGUUGUAAAGCACUUUUGUCCGGGAAGAAAUCCCCUGCCCUAAUACGGCGGGGGGAUGACGGUACCGGAAGAAUAAGCACCGGCUAACUACGUGCCAGCAGCCGCGGUAAUACGUAGGGUGCGAGCGUUAAUCGGAAUUACUGGGCGUAAAGCGUGCGCAGGCGGUGAUGUAAGGCCGAUGUGAAAUCCCCGGGCUCAACCUGGGAACUGCAUUGGUGACUGCAUUGCUCGAGUAUGGCAGAGGGGGGUGGAAUUCCACGUGUAGCAGUGAAAUGCGUAGAGAUGUGGAGGAACACCGAUGGCGAAGGCAGCCCCCUGGGCCAAUACUGACGCUCAUGCACGAAAGCGUGGGGAGCAAACAGGAUUAGAUACCCUGGUAGUCCACGCCCUAAAACGAUGUCAACUGGUUGUCGGGCCUUCAUUGGCUUGGUAACGUAGCUAACGCGUGAAGUUGACCGCCUGGGGAGUACGGUCGCAAGAUUAAAACUCAAAUGAAUUGACGGGGUCAUAGCUGUUUCCU
rnacentral:rRNA from 1 species